UACGGGAGGCAGCAGUGGGGAAUAUUGGACAAUGGGGGAAACCCUGAUCCAGCCAUGCCGCGUGUGUGAAGAAGGCCUUAGGGUUGUAAAGCACUUUCAGUAGGGAGGAAGGGAGUAAGGUUAAUAGCCUUAUUCAUUGACGUUACCUACAGAAGCAGCACCGGCUAACUCCGUGCCAGCAGCCGCGGUAAU
rnacentral:rRNA from 1 species